rnacentral:rRNA from 1 species
AAUGGCUCAUUAAAUCAGUUAUCGUUUAUUUGAUAGUACCUACCAACUACAUGGAUAACCGUGGUAAUUCUAGAGCUAAUACAUGCUAAAAACCCCGACUUCGGGAGGGGUGUAUUUAUUAGAUAAAAAACCAAUGCCCCUCGGGGCUUCUUGGUGAUUCAUGAUAACUUAACGGAUCGCAUGGCCUUGCGCCGGCGACGGUUCAUUCAAAUUUCUGCCCUAUCAACUUUCGAUGGUAAGGUAUUGGCUUACCAUGGUUUCAACGGGUAACGGGGAAUUAGGGUUCGAUUCCGGAGAGGGAGCCUGAGAAACGGCUACCACAUCCAAGGAAGGCAGCAGGCGCGCAAAUUACCCAAUCCCGACACGGGGAGGUAGUGACAAUAAAUACUGAUACAGGGCUCUUUUGGGUCUUGUAAUCGGAAUGAGUACAAUUUAAACCCCUUAACGAGGAACAAUUGGAGGGCAAGUCUGGUGCCAGCAGCCGCGGUAAUUCCAGCUCCAAUAGCGUAUAUUAAAGUUGUUGCAGUUAAAAAGCUCGUAGUUGAACCUUGGGCCUGGCUGGCCGGUCCGCCUCACCGCGUGUACUGGUCCGGCCGGGCCUUUCCUUCUGGAGAACCGCAUGCCCUUCACUGGGUGUGCCGGGGAACCAGGACUUUUACUUUGAAAAAAUUAGAGUGUUCAAAGCAGGCCUUUGCUCGAAUACGUUAGCAUGGAAUAAUAGAAUAGGACGUGCGGUCCUAUUUUGUUGGUUUCUAGGACCGCCGUAAUGAUUAAUAGGGAUAGUCGGGGGCAUCAGUAUUCAAUUGUCAGAGGUGAAAUUCUUGGAUUUAUUGAAGACUAACUACUGCGAAAGCAUUUGCCAAGGAUGUUUUCAUUAAUCAGUGAACGAAAGUUAGGGGAUCGAAGACGAUCAGAUACCGUCGUAGUCUUAACCGUAAACUAUGCCGACUAGGGAUCGGGCGAUGUUUCUAUCUUGACUCGCUCGGCACCU